CUUCAUGUUUUCGUGUGUUUGACUUCUAUUGGAGCCUCUUCAGUACUUUCCGAACUACCAGGGCUUCAGCGAUGAAGGCGGAAGGAGCAAAAACCGGUUUUGCAAACCCAUCCGUGAGCACGCCAUCUACGUUUCUGCAGAGUAUCAUGGUCAAUCCCUCCAUACUCGAGCAGUUCCAAGUGCAAUCGACACUCACUUUGUAGCAGAUCUGGGUUGGAGAGGGACCUUCGGCUUUUGUAGAUCCGUUCUCUUCAUCUUGCGUAAGUCUACCGUUUCCAUAUUUUGCAACUAGCUAAGUCAUGUAGAUUGCUUCUUCAAUCAUUAAGCUAGGGUUUGGUCUCUAUGCUUGGAAGAUCAGGUUGUUUCAUGCCUUAUAGAUUGCCAAACCAGUUCAUCAAAGACGGCUUUGGACUGCAGGGUCAGGAACAACGAAUCUCUUUAUGAUAAACAGAUCCAUUUUGCAAGUUCGUUAUUACGGGUAGUUCCUACAAAGGAUCGGACUAAUGACGUAUACAAUACUUGAAUUCUCGAUGUAGAUGCUACAUAGUUGGUUCUCAUCCUUCCUCGACUGCGUUGCACUUUGGGCUCUGCUUUAUAGAUCUACUAAAUGACUUGUUUUCAGAUUGAGAAAAGUGUUCCUUACAUAGGAUAAUACACGGUGAGGUGAGAGCGACUUGCCAGCUUAUCCUCUUAUGGUUUUAGACCGGCCUAACUUCACUUGUCAGCUUCAGUCCCUGUUAAAUCGGUUCUAUCCGUUGAUUUCUGGUUCCACCCUAGGACUAUUCCUUCAGUCCGAAAAGCCAAGCCACUGAUGCUACUGCUGCUAGAUCAGCUGAUGGAGUGCAAGGUUACCGGGUCAUUCUGUCGGUUUUAAGCCUUCGACAACCGGCAAAGAAGGACCGUUCUGAGCAGCAGUAAGGUUCAUAGCAAGCAAGAAAGAUGGGGUAGAGGGGCGAAAUGGCGGGAAAGCCAAGUUCUUUUUCUAGAGUAAAAGAGCUUUUAGAGCUCAUAGGUUUCUACCUGUGACUAACUUAGUGUGCUUUUGGUAGCAGCAGCCAUACCAACAAUCUAUCUUUUGUAAGUAAGCACUCCCAUUACGGUGCGAGAUCUGCCAAGCUAAGCUCAAUCACAACCCACCAGCUCAAACAAAGGCUGGAUCGGUUCACUGAACGCGAACCAAAUCUAGCAAGUACUCUAGCAAUUAGGUACACGAAAGCCCAACUUUAGGGUCAACGAAAGCACAACACUAGGUUGUUCGGCACAACGAUCAAAAUAACCUCUUAUGAUAGACUCAACUCAAGUCAUGAAAAGGAAAGUGGAAGCUACAGUUGAAAGGGCUUCAUCCCAAAAAAGUUCUAGGAACAGAGUUGGAGACUCUCUUCUGAAAGCUUACCUUGACGAAAGCCAAAGGUCCCUCUAGAAGCCAUGAUCCAUGGGACGCGCAAGUCCACUAACAGAAAGAGAACUAGACGACUCAAACUCACCAGCUCACUAACGCAAUCUCUGAACAGGAAUUUCGUCAUAAGUCUUAAUUGCUCUGUUGAACGAAGGGAAAAGUUCAAGUAUGAUUUUACAGCUAUAUAAGAUGGAAAAGUGAGAGGAAGUUAAAACCAACCAUCUCUCGGAAGCCGGUAGGAUAGAGUAUGAAAUGGUCGUUCUCGUAGACAGGGCUUUCCAAAAAGCCGUAGAUUAUGAAUAGGCCCCUUUCUCUCAAUCGAGUGAUUUCACACAACCAGCAGUACCGCAUUUCUCUUGUUUUCUAGGUCUAGGAAAGCCAACCGAUCCCCUUCAGUUGACCAAUGACUAUCAAAUCCAGAUAGAAAUAGGCAGAAAAGGUUCACGAAUCCCCGCUUUUAUGCCGGCUUGAAUCAACUUCAGCAAUUCAUAUUGGAGAGUGGUCAAGGAAAGUUCUAGUAUUGGCCCGCUCUUUCAUCUGAGAUUACUAGCUCCAACAGGACCAGGAGAAAGAGAAAGGAAGCCUUCCCAUACCAUAGAUGAGAUACCAACUUUUGCAAUUCAAUCCCUUCUCAUUGAAAGAAAAGGGAAAAGUGCACUAGUAGACGACAGGUAGCUAAACCAAAAGAAAAGAAGGCAGAGCUAAGGCCUGUUAGAAGGAAAAAGUUCAAGUAUCAAACUGCCUAUAUAUGAGCGGACCCUGCUUAUGGACUUUCAGUGCCAAAUAACUGCGUUCUAGACACCUCUGUCCUCUUCUUCCAGACUCUGUCUUAGUAGUUCUUGUUUGAAUUAUUGCUAUUUCUUUUUUUUUGCACAAAUUAGGGUCUCUUUGCCGAGGAGACUCCUUCGGUGCGUGGAUCACAGAGCGAAUCUACGUUAUACGAGGUGGUUCCCGUUAUCCUUUGGAUGCAAUGUAAGUUCGACAAAAAUGGGGUGAAUUCGGGAGUCUUGCGAGCAUCUGUUACUUUUUUGGUCCAGGGCUGACAAUUCCUGAGGGAACAAAACCAGGGUGAUAAAUGCAUAUUUCUGAAUGGAAGUUAGGGCCUAGCCCCACUUAGCCUUAGCUGCGACGGCAAGCAAGCCGUUGAUUCUCUUAUAAUGAAUAAGGAAGGAAUAGGGGCCGCAUCGAUUGAGGAGGAGCAGCCGAGGAAGUCUGGACAGCUGUUUAAAGAAACGGAUCCGUCUUACUUCCAUUCUUCGGAGCUGUCCCUAACCUAGCAACGGUCAUAGCUGAUCCAGUGAAAUGAGUCCAUUUUUUUUUGUUAAUGAGCCGAUCUUACCAGAGCAAGUUAUGAAGUGCUUUGCUUGGGGAUGGAAUGUGACUGAAGAUUGAUUGAUGAAGGCCUCUCCUAUUCAAGAAUGAAAGAAUAAGGAAUUGCUGCAGGUGGAGCAGCGAAGCUUCGUAGACAAGGCGGCUCGCUCAGUGCUUACGAAUGAAAAAGUGUUUGUUUGUCGAUUAGGUACGGGCUACCUAAUUCACUGGAGGGCCUCUGAAAGGGCUUUCUAGUUGAUCACUAACCUUGGCAUUCCCCUUUCUUGCUCAUUUCUGUUAUUGACGUAUUUUGCAGCGCUGGACCAUGGACUCUUGGCCUAAUUAGGCCCUUCUUCAAGAGAUCACCCACUUAUUUC